UAAGGAAUAUUGGUCAAUGGACGCAAGUCUGAACCAGCCAUGCCGCGUGAAGGAUGAAGGUCCUCUGGAUUGUAAACUUCUUUUAUCUGGGACGAAAACGGGAUUUUUAUCUCAAUUGACGGUACCAGAGGAAUAAGCACCGGCUAACUCCGUGCCAGCAGCCGCGGUAAUACGGAGGGUGCGAGCGUUAUCCGGAUUUACUGGGUUUAAAGGGUGCGUAGGUGGGCUUAUAAGUCAGUGGUGAAAUCUCCGAGCUUAACUUGGAAACUGCCGUUGAUACUAUAGGUCUUGAAUUAUCUGGAGGUAAGCAGAAUAUGUCAUGUAGCGGUGAAAUGCUUAGAUAUGACAUAGAACACCAAUUGCGAAGGCAGCUUGCUACAUAUAAAUUGACGCUGAGGCACGAAAGCGUGGGGAUCAAACA
rnacentral:rRNA from 1 species